rnacentral:tRNA from 1 species
GGCUAUGUAGCUCAGCUGGUUAGAGCGCAGCACUCAUAAUGCUGAUGUCGGUGGUUCGAAUCCACCCAUAGCCACCA